GAUGAAGAACGCAGCGAAAUGCGAUAAGUAAUGUGAAUUGCAGAAUUCAGUGAAUCAUCGAAUCUUUGAACGCACAUUGCGCCCUCUGGUAUUCCGGGGGGCAUGCCUGUUCGAGCGUCAUUAUAACCACUCAAGCUCUCGCUUGGUAUUGGGGUUCGCGGUUCCGCGGCCCCUAAAAUCAGUGGCGGUGCCUGUCGGCUCUACGCGUAGUAAUUCUUCUCGCUAUGGAGUCCUGGUGGAUGCUUGCCAUCAACCCCCAAUUUUUCUAUGGUUGACCUCGGAUCAGGUAGGGAUACCCGCUGAACUUAAGCAUAUCAAUAAGCGGAGGA
rnacentral:misc_RNA from 1 species